AACUACCCCCUACCCGCACCCACCCGUGCGUGGUGCGUAGUGCGUAGCGAUCGAUUAUACGCGAAUUACACGGGUGCGAUGUGGUCAUUCGGUGGGGACGUGUGGGUGGUUAGAGCGUAGGAGACGUCGGUGUGCCGAAGAAUAAAACCGACCAGCUGCGGAAGGUUGCGGGGGAAGGAGGGAAGCAGCGGGACCAUACGCGCGUCUAAAUUAGGGCAUCGUAACGCAACACCGACGAUGCCAUACCGCCGCAUAUUCAUCGCGCUCUCGUACGCCACCCCUUCGUCCGCCCCGCCGUCCGCGUUGACGGCCGCGUCGCGGAUUCGUUCUGUGAUAAUCGAUCGGGAAUCGAACAUUUCGAACCACUGCUUCAAUCGGAAUUGACGUGAUAAGUGCUCGCCACGACGAUAGGGGCCAACGGGAGCCGUGUGGUACGGGCAACGCGAAAUCUACGGUCGAGGGGGAACGUGUACCACGUCAUUUGCGCUCAAGACCAAUCGCCGGGUAUUUUCGGAACGAUUCGAAAUACCGUAAUUUUAGUCGCGACAAUAACGAAUCGUACAUAGAAAUCGAAGCGAUUAAUUCUACACUCGAUGUACCGUUUUCGUAUCCGCCUGGGAUAUAUCUGUAUCGUGAAAUAAAUUUUGGUGAAAUUUCGAUUUCACGUUGGUGACCCAGCUGUCCACCGAUAUCGGCGAUAAUUAUACAACGAAAUUACAGACGGAGCCGCCGGUUAAUUUUCGACCCGGUCGCGACGACGGGUCAACAUUUUUAAGCCCGUUUUACGAGCACUGUAGUAUGUAAGUUCCCUAUAGCAUGCAUUGAACGUAUUCCGCGAGUAGAGGAUCCUGCUGACGUGAUGGCGGCUUUCAAAUUAAAAUCGAAUACACACAUGGCUACAACGAUUCGAGUAGCUGUACGGGAGAAGAUUUCGGUAUUGUAUCUCGAGAAGGUAUUAAACAACAAAAAGCAAAAACGUCACUCGAAUCCAGCUAAGGAUAAGGCAAAAGCUGUAAAAACUUGAUAAGAAACACUGGAAACUGUUCGUGAUCUUGUUCGAUGUAUUGAAAAUAAAAAUAUCUGGUUUCCGG